GGAAGCGUGAACGGGGGCCAUUGCCAUCUCUACUCCCCACCCUCUCGUUCAUCCUGUCCACCCAGAGCCAUUGCCACACACACACACCGACAGGUGCCCUCGUGCUUCCUCUCCUUUCAGACAAAGCAAAAAAUUAAUUUCCUUCCAGUGGAGAACCUCGAAGUCAAAGAACAACGUGUUCACCAUGCCCAGCGAUGGCAACCUCCGCAUCGUCCUCUUCCCGUUCCCGGCGCAGGGCCACUUCUCCGCCUUCCUCUCCCUCGCUGCCCACCUCCACGACGCCCAGCCCACGGCCGACAUCUCCAUCGUCUCCACCCCGCGCAACGUGGAAGGCCUCCGCCGCCGGUCCAGCUCCCAGACGCGGUACCUCCGGUUCCACGCCCUGCCGUUCGUGCCUGCUGAGCACGGCCUGCCCGGAGACGCCGAGUCGACCGAUGCCGUGCCGCCCCUCCACUUCAUCACGCUGUUCGAGGCCACCGAGUCGCGCUCGCUACAGGACAGCUUCGACGGCUUCGUCCGUGACUUGAUCGCCGACGCCGGAGCAGACGCUGCCAGGGUCUGCGUCAUCGCCGACCCCUUCCUCGCGUGGACGACCGACAUCGCCCGCCGGCGUGGCGUCGCGCACGCCAUCUUCGUGUCCUGCGGCGCGUUCGGCAGCGUGGUGUACCACUCGCUGUGGAACCACCUGCCGCACCUGCGUGCGCCCGGUGACGAUGCGUUCUGCCUCCCGGACCACCCGGAGGUUACUGUCCACCGGUCGAAGCUUCCGCCGUACCUACUCCACGCCGACGGCACGGACCGGUGGUCGGCCCACCACCGCCGGCAGACAUCAGCCGGGUACGACACCGACGCGAUUCUCAUCAGCAUGAUGGAGGAGUUGGAGACGACCGGGCUGCGCAUGCUCCGGAGAACGAUGGGCGUCCCGGUCUAUCCCAUCGGCCCUCUAGUGCGUCGCCGGACGGAGCACUCCGAUCACACCGGUGACCAUAACGACGAUUACGUCAAGAGGUGGCUCGAUACCCAAGAAGAGAGGUCAGUGCUGUACAUCUCAUUCGGGUCUUAUAACUCGCUAAGGCUUGACCAGAUGGUUGACCUCGCCGUGGCACUGGAGCUCACCGGCCGGCCGUUCAUUUGGGCUAUCUGUCCGCCGUUCGGGUUUGACAUCGAGCCCACCAACGGUGGCCAGUUCAGCGCCGAGUGGUUGCCGGAAGGGUUCGAGGAGAGGAUGCAUGCCAAGAACAUUGGGCUUCUCAUCCACGGGUUGGCUCCGCAGGUGAGCAUCCUCGCGCACGCGUCCACCGGCGUUCCUGAGCCACUGCGGCUGGAACUCUGUGCUGGAGAGCAUGGCGCACGGCGUGCCAAUCAUCGCGUGGCCGCUCACGGCGGACCAGUUCUUCAACGCCCAGAUGCUGGAGGAGUGGGGCGCGUGCGUGGAGGUGUCCCGCGGGAGCUGGCCGGACUCCCCGGCGCUGGAGCGUGAGAGGGUGGUCGAGGUCGUGGAUAUGGCGAUGGGGAUUACGGCGUAGGCGGACAAGAUACGGCAGAGUGUGAAGGAGAUUCAGGGGAUGAUUAGUCGAACUCUGGAGGACGGUGGUUCGUCCAAGACAGCAUUGGAGGAAUUCUUGAAGCUGCAUGGUCGCAUUAUGCUCAAGAAAGGCUGACGCCGAGAGAAAUAAUUUUCUGUUUUAUUUCCUCCGUUUUACUGUGUAAGUCAUUCUAAUAUUUUCCACAUUCAUAUGAAUGUUAAUGAAUAUAUAUAUAUAUAUAUAUAUAUAUAUAUAUAUAUAUAUAUAUAUAUAUAUAUAUAUAUAUAUAUGUAGAUUCAUUUACAUCAUUAUGAAUGUGAGAAAUGCUACAAUGACUUACAUUGUGAAACGGAGGAAGUAGCAAUUUGCCCAACCUUGAAACGUGGUGCCUGAAAUAACCUAUUAUGUGUUCUUGAGUACACACGCAUUUGGGUUUUGUAUUGAAAAAGCUAA